GAUAAACGCUGGCGGCGUGCGUUACGCAUGCAAGUCGCACGGUCCCUUUUUUCGGAAGGGAUAGUGGCGGACGGGUGAGUAACACGUACGUGACCUGCCCUGUGGCGGGGGAGUAACGGCGCGAAAGUGUCGCUAAUACCGCAUGAGCUCUCUUUCUUGCGAGGAGGAGAGGAAACCUGCAAAGGGUCGACGGGAGGGGCGUGCGGGGGAUUAGCUAGUUGGUGGGGUAACGGCCUACCAAGGCGACGAUCCCAGCUGGUCUGAGAGGACGGCCAGCCACACGGGGACUGAGACACGGCCCCGACCUCCUACGGGAGGCAGCAGCGAGGAAUCUUGGUCAAUGGGCGCAAGCCUGAACCAGCGA
rnacentral:rRNA from 1 species